rnacentral:ncRNA from 2 species
AACUUAUCCAGAGCGGCGGAGGGACUGGCCCUACGAUGCCCGGCAACCUAUCAGAACGAUAAGGUACUAAAUCCAGCAGGAGAAACCCUGGAAGAUAAGUC